rnacentral:misc_RNA from 1 species
GAAAAGAUUACCCUAUGGAGUUGUUGCUGGCCUCUAGGGGCAUGUGCACGCUUCACUAGUACUUUCAACCACCUGUGAACUUUUGAUAGAUCUGUGAAGUCGUCUCUCAAGUCGUCAGACUUGGUUGCUGGGAUUUAAACGUCUCGGUGUGACAUACGCAGUCUAUUUACUUACACACCCCAAAUGUAUGUCUACGAAUGUCAUUUAAUGGGCCUUGUGCCUAUAAACCAUAAUACAACUUUCAACAACGGAUCUCUUGGCUCUCGCAUCGAUGAAGAACGCAGCGAAAUGCGAUAAGUAAUGUGAAUUGCAAAAUUCAGUGAAUCAUCGAAUCUUUGAACGCACCUUGCGCCCCUUGGUAUUCCGAGGGGCAUGCCUGUUUGAGUGUCAUUAAAUUCUCAAACUCACUUUUGGUUUCUUUCCAAUUGGGAUGUUUGGAUUGUUGGGGGCUGCUGGCCUUGAAAGGUCGGCUCCUCUUAAAGGCUUUAGAAGGACUUCUCAUUGCCUCUGCGCAUGAGGGGAAAAUUAUCACUCAUCAAUAGCACGCAUGAAUAGAGUCCAGCUCUCUAAUCGUCCGCAAGGACAAUUUGACAAUUUGACCUCAAAUCAGG